rnacentral:ncRNA from 1 species
ACUCGUAGUUGGGUCUGGAUCGUGCGUUCGCAUUCCGCUGUUUGUUCACGAUUUUGGUUAAGAUCAGGACGUGUUCAUCCCAUCGUAGUGACUGUGCAGCCUUUCAGUCGUUUCUAGUGGGUGGGUUGACGAUUUCGUCUUGUUGAUCUGUUGGCAUGCUUUCGGAUGCUUUUAAACGGGUGUCGAAAGCGGAUGGCAUAUUUGAGUGCUUAAAGUAGGUCUAUGCGCCUGAAAAUUUCUUCAUGAAGUAAUGAAAUAGGACUUCGCUUCUGUUUUGUUGGUUUUUCGAUCCGAAGUAAUGGUUAAGAGAGACAGACGGGAGCAUUUGUAUGGCAGUGUUAGAGGUGAAAUUCUGGGAUCAACGCCAGACAAACUACAGCGAAAGCGCUUACCAAGAAUGUUUUAAUUGAUCAGGAGCAAACGUCAGAGUUUCGGAGACGAUCAAAUACCAUCGUGGUUCUGACCAUAAACGAUGCCGACUGACGAUCCGCGUUGAUUCUAUAAUUGACAUCGCGAGCAAUCUUUGGGC